rnacentral:rRNA from 1 species
CGGGGGAGCAAGCGUUGUUCGGAUUUACUGGGCGUAAAGGGCGCGUAGGCGGCGUAACAAGUCACUUGUGAAAUCUCCGGGCUUAACCCGGAGCGGCCAAGUGAUACUGUUGUGCUAGAGUGCGGAAGGGGCUACUGGAAUUCUCGGUGUAGCGGUGAAAUGCGUAGAUAUCGAGAGGAACACCUGCGGCGAAGGCGGGUAGCUGGGCCGACACUGACGCUGAGGCGCGAAAGCCAGGGGAGCGAACGGGAUUAGAUACCCCGGUAGUCCUGGCCUUAAACGAUGGAUGCUUGGUGUCCGAGGUUACAUAGUCCUCGGGUGCCGGCGCUAACGCAUUAAGCAUCCCGCCUGGGGAGUACGGUCGCAAGACUG